rnacentral:misc_RNA from 1 species
UACGGAGGGUCCAAGCGUUAUCCGGAUUUAUUGGGUUUAAAGGGUGCGUAGGCGGAAUAUUAAGUCAGUGGUGAAAGCCUGCAGCUUAACUGCAGAAUUGCCAUUGAUACUGAUAUUCUUGAGUAUAGUUGAAGUUGGCGGAAUGAGUCAUGUAGCGGUGAAAUGCAUAGAUAUGACUUAGAACACCUAUUGCGAAGGCAGCUAACUAAACUAUCACUGACGCUGAGGCACGAAAGCGUGGGGAGCGAACAGG